CCUGCAGUUUCAUUUCAUUCCUUUUGCAAAGCCAGCUGUGUCUCCUCCCCACAACUCCUCAGAAAUAAAAAAAACAAAGAACUUUCUCUCUCUCACUAGCUAACCUUCAUUUUCUCUCUCCUCCCAUCUCCGUGAUCCUCAACAAUCCAUCACUAGUAAACAAGAAACACAGAGAGAGAGAGAGAGAGAGAGAGAGAGAAGCACAAGUCAAAAAGAGAAACCAGAGAGAUGAGUGUGAUUGAAAUCCUAACGAGAGUCGACGCGAUCUGCAAGAAAUACGACAAGUACGACUUCGACAAGCAGCAACAUCUCAACCUCUCCGCCGCUGACGACGCCUUCGCCCGCCUCUACGCCGCCGUCGACUCCGACAUCGACGCCGCUCUUCAGAAAGCGGAGGCGGCAUCGAACGAGAAAAGUAGGGCCUCUGCGGUUGCUAUCAAUGCCGAGAUUCGACGCACCAAAGCUCGGUUGCUUGAGGAAGUCCCUAAAUUGGAGAGAUUGGCUAUAAAAAAGGUUAAGGGGCUUUCGACAGAAGAACUUGCUGCCCGUAAUGAUUUGGUCCUUGCUCUGCCAGAUAGGAUUCAAGCCAUACCAGAUGGGAGUGCAGCUGCUCCCAAACAAUCUGGAGGCUGGACAGGUUCAGCUUCCCGCACAGAAAUCAAGUUUGAUUCAGAUGGACAGUUCAAGAGUGAGUACUUCCAGCAAACAGAAGAGUCCAGCCAAUUCAGGCAAGAAUAUGAAAUGCGGAAAAUGAAGCAGGACCAAGGAUUGGAAGUGAUAUCAGAAGGUUUGGAUACAUUGAAAAACAUGGCCCAUGAUUUGAAUGAGGAAAUGGAUCGGCAAGUUCCUUUAAUGGACGAGAUUGACACUAAGGUUGACAAGGCCGCAUCUGAUCUUAAGAACACCAAUGUGAGACUAAAGGAUACUGUUAACCAGUUGAGGUCCAGUCGAAAUUUCUGUAUUGAUAUUAUACUGUUGUGCAUAAUUCUUGGGAUUGCUGCCUAUCUAUAUAAUGUAUUGAAGAAUUAAGAUGAUCGAUCGGCUACUGUUUCUGCUCGUGAUAUUGGCUUUGUCUGGUAUUGUUUUGUGUUGAUUGAGGCCUUGUUAUGUGCUUAUUUUGGAGAUGAUUUGUUUUUCCGGUUUACUCCGUUGGCUAAGAUUCUACCAAACUGGCUUGAGAAACAUCACAUUCCACUUCAAGUGCUAGGUUGAAAUCCUCCCCGUUGCAGGCAGGAAAUGGAGAUUUCUACAUCAUAAUCAAUGAUUGUGAGAGAGCCACAUUAAUACAUUAGUAUUUUAAAACUCAUAAUGAUGUGGCAAUUUAUACUCUAAAUUUUGAAUUUUGAUGAUGUUCCACAAAAUAGACCUAGGUGGUGGCCUCUCUUCUUCCUCAUGGAAUGAGCUUAUCUCUACUUUUUUGGACAUUGAAGCAUGUAUAUCAUAUCCUUAACUGAAUCGUAGCUCCUUUUGCAAGUUUUUGCACUUCCUAUGCAAGGGUGCCACUUGCUGGGUCAAAUCUACUAAAAAGUGUUAAUUUU